AGAUAACUUCUCUUUCUUUAGAAAUGUGUUGAAAAAAGGAGUGAUAAAAACAUGAGUAAAAGAAGUGAAUUUUAGUUUCUGUUUUUUGUACAGUUUCUUCUUCUUCAUUUUUGCUUUCUAGAAAAUGAUGGUUGAUAAGAAGGGAAAAGAAAAACAAAAAGAUGAUGAUGAUGGUUGUUCAUACAAGUGGGUCAGUGAGGAUGUGAAAAUUCGUAGGUCUUAAUUUAUUGAUAAGAUAUUGUAGGUGAGAUUGAUGUGUCAAAAAUAAUGAGGGAAAGGUCUAGGAUGAAGAUUGAGUUGUUACCAUGUCAAAAAUAGUGGGUCAGUUGUGUAUUGGAAGAACUUUGUGUAAAACUUCUGUUUACUAGUUUUGAAUGUAAUGUUUUGAAACAAUUAAACUGUACUCCUUCGCAACUUCACCCAAAUAGUUGGGUGUUUUUGAAGUAUUUUGAGAUUUUAAUGGAGUUUUUGGAAAUAAAACCGUCAGUGGAAUUGUUUCAAGCUAAAGAGGUUUGAAAAGGAGUUUGGGUUAAUAUGAAUAGCUCCCCUGGCUUUACUAUUUUCAAACUUUAUAAGUCCUCUUUCAAAGACUUUAAAGAAAUAUUUCUUAAGGUAAAAUCAAUAGAUGAAAACUUUUCUUUUAUCUAGAUGAGCAUUUAGGUGAGACGUUUUCUCUGGUUUGAUGUUCACAAGCGCAACACAUUUUAGGUCUAAAGGAGAUAAGUGCUAGGAAUGAGUGCAUAAUAGAUUAUCUGGUAGAGGUUGUGGAUAGAAAAUUUAAUUUUUUUUUUUUUGAUCUACAUCCAUGGGAAGAAGAUAGAAUGUCUGUGGUGAACUAUCUUGGUGGAAAGUAUCCAGGGUUUCAGUAGCGAGCUUAAGGGAUCGGCUGAAGACCAAAAAUGUUGAAAAAAAAGGUUGAUCAUCGAACGCUGAUAAGGUGAACGGAGAGGGAGAAGUGAAUCAACCAGCUUCGAAGAAGAACAAUAUUAUUUUCAAAAAGAGAAAGGCUAACGUCAUCAAUUUGUGUGACGAUUUAGUGGAGAAGGUGAAGAAAAUUUCUUUGGAAGAGCUUACUAUUUUCAUGAGUAAGCAAUAAAAGCUGCAUGGGUUUGCCGAGGAUGGGACGGUUCCUCGGUGUUGGAUAAGAAGUUUCCAUUUAUGGUCGUUGUUGACGAGGUAUUGCAAGCAUCCUCCGACAUUUUCUUGAUUAAUGAGGUCGUGGAUAUUGCUAUUGACCAAUAUCUUCAGGAGCUGGGAUUCUGUUUGGCUAGUAUUGGUUGGAGCAAAGAAGGGUGACAUAAGAAGCUUUUGCAAAAAAAAAUGAUGAAUCAAUAAAUUUAAAGGAGGAUUUGGAGUUGAAGAAAAAUGUGAUUGAGGAUCUGAAAAAGAAAAUGACUGAAAAAGAAGAAGAGCUGAAAUCAGUGAAGAACAGCCAUAAAAAAGACUUAGAGCUGCUAAAGAAAAAGGAGAGUGAUCUUUCCAAUAUGAAGAAUCAAGUGAUUGAAGUGACUAUGAAGUUGAAGAAUUUGGAAAAAGGGUAGAGAGACUGAAAUUCUUGAUGCUUUCAAUGAAGGAUUUGAGCGUGCGGUAAUGAAAGCAAAGUUUUUGGCUCUGGAUAAUGAUUUCUCUCAUAUGGAUCUGGGUAAAGUAGUUCGUGAUGGAGUGUUAAUAGAUGAUGAUGAGGCUGCCGAGAAAGAGGAUAAAAACCUGGCAGAGUGAUGUAUGGUUUGUUGUUUGCAUUUUGUUUUUGUUUCACUUUGCUUCAUGAAACUUGUGAUGAUUUGGCUUCGACAUUUGCCAAAUGUUUUGACUCUUUGGAUAUGUAAUAGUUUGUCUUCUAAAUAAUAUUUUGAUAAUGUUGAUUGUUUGAUAUUUUGAUGA